UAUAUCUGCGCUUUGGAAGUUUUUUUGAAGCUUUUGGCUAGCCAGAUGAAACAUAAGUUUCAGACUUAUUGUUUGAUAUACAGGAAAACUUGAGGCGGAUAUUUGGUCUCGGGAGUUUUUCAAAACUUUUGGAACAUCCUGCGUUUAUCUUGCCAGGUUAAAGUGCAAGAAUUUAAAUAUAGCUUUUGAACUCAUAAUAAGACGAUAUGCGAUAAGAGUUUGUACAGAAGGUGCAUACAUUAUUUAACACCACAUUUAGCUCGCUCAAGAAUUUAAGGCACGGGGAUAUUAUAUCUGGAAAUAACCGUUGAUUGGGCGUCUGUGGCGGCGCUAGGGGUGAGCGAGGUUGGACGAGCGCCCAACCAAAAUUUGUCUCGCCCAACCACUUUUAAUAGCGAUAUAAAUAAUUGCGAGUUAAAAACCAUCAGAUCAAAUUCGAGAAUAAUAAACGUGAAAACAUUCCUAGUUGUUCGGGAAUUAAAAAGACAAUAUUUUCAUAUAGAGGACAAAGAAGUAAUUGAUUUGGCUCAAUCGCUACCUGAACUUUCUAGACAGCCGUUCUUUGCAAGUUUUCCUAAAAACAGUAUGGUAGUUUUAAGUCCAGUUAUUAUAUCAUGUAUCGUUGGAUUAAGUACAGCAUUUUCAACAAUACUGUAUUCCGUUUUCCCUUGCAGAUUUUUCAUCAAUUGUUUGAAGAAAACUGGUAGGAAACUAGGUGGAACUAGCAGUUUUAGUUUUGUAACUGAAAAGUACAAGAACUGAAAAAGGUUUGCAGAAACAAAAGCUGGGUUUCAAAACAUGAUUUAGUACACUUAAUCCAACUUCCAUCAUUUUUGUGAACACUUAGAACGUUGAUUUCUUUAGCUAACCAUUGCCCAUGUGAUAUAGUUUCUAUUCAAAACGAGACAAAGUCAUUGCCAGAUACCACUAAGAGGUACUAAGUCAAAAUAAUCUAAAAACUUUAAUCAACUAAUUUAAUUUCAGAUUAACAAUCACUUUAACAGAUUUCACGCUUCUUUUGCAAAUUUUUAGUUUAGUCUUAUAUAAUAUUGCAAUGACAGUGCCAUUUUCCAGUGCAAGUUUUGAAAGAACUUUCAGCACUUUAAAGAUAAUUAAAUCUUUUCUAAGAACAACUGUGAGUCAGGAUAGGCUUAUCGACUUAGGCAUUUUCUUUGUUGAAAAAGAUAUUGCAAAAAAUAUAUUUAGAGUUGAUUAUAGAUGCGUUUGCUGGUACGCAUAAUAAGAGAAAAAUUUAUCUUCUAAUAUCCUGCGUGAAUAACUAUUUAAUUAUUGAAUUAUUUCACUACCUUAUAAAUGUUUUAUUCACUGUUUAUAAUGUUAUUUUCGUUAAUUUAAGUAUUUUUAAUCUACUUUUACUUGGUAAAUGCUGAAUGAAAGUCUUCUAAUGUUCUGCGUGAAUAACUAUUUCAUUAUUGAAUUAAUUCACUACCUUAUAAAUGUUUUAUUCACUGUUUAUAAUGUUAUUUUCGUUAAUUUAAGUAUUUUAAAUCUACUUUUACUUGGUAAAUGCUGAAUGAAAGUCGCUAGUGUUGUAGCGACUUUCAUUAAGAAUUUGUUUCCAACAUAAUGUCGUUUAAAAAAAAUAUUCACAGUUGUGAAAUAUAUUUUUGUAACAUUUAUUUCGUUAUUCUACGAAAGUAGAUAAAAUCUCGCAUAAUAUUUGUAUUGUAAAUUCAUAUUGGGACACUAACGGUAUUGUCAAACUCUGUUAGCUCCUUGUUUGACACAAACAUGUUAUUACUAAAAUAAGACUUACUAAAAAUGAAUCUUUGCAACGCUUGUAUAUUAAAUAAAAAUAACCAAAAAAUACUUUACAUUACAUUCGCCCAAAGAAGAAAACAAAAUAUUUUGUAAAAGGGAAAUCUUGUAUCCAACUCUUACCAUUCUUUUAAUGGUAAAUAUAUCCUACCCAUCUUGAAAAAAAAAUUGCCGGCUUUCGCCCAAGCGGAAACUAAAGCUGGCGCCGCCACUGCUGGGCGUACAUAUAACAAUUUUAGAAGUUUCUCUUAGUUCUCAAUAACCUCUGUAUAUUGAGGUAGUCCUUGCAAGUUAUGAAAAUCGGGAUUUUAUGUAUAAGCAACAUUGGGUUCAUGUAGUGACAGUAUUUAACCCCGACAAUCCUGACAACAUGUUUAUUUAUUUAUUACAAGUUAAUGAAAACCAAUAAUAAUAUUUAGUUAUGCUAAUAUGUAUAUAAAUAGAGUAGAAAAGUUGACAAGGAAAAUGCUGAAAUACGUACGAGUGAUAUUUUCGAUAAAGUCCUGUCCUAAUGUAAGAAGUAUGUCCAAGGAUUUUCUUUAUAAAUUUGUUUAAAAAAUAAAUAAAACAGUUUUUAUUAAA